UAGAGCGUCUGGCUGACCCGUCAUUGUCCAGGGAAGCCAUGGAUCUGGUGGCCGCAGCCCAGCGCCGUCCUCACCACCCAGGCCUGCCUGGAGCCCAGUGGCUGUCAGGGCAGCCGAGACCAGAAGCGCAGACUUCGGCCUCUCUGAAGCUCCUCCAUUUCUGGCUGCUUUUCACUGCCGUCUGCCUGCCUGUGUUCUUGUCUUCACGCCGGCCUUUGGUACGGGAGGGAGCCAUCCACGGCCCACACUGCAGCUCCCGUGACCUCCGCACGGCCCCGUGCGGACACUCAUCUGGAUUUUGUUUGUGCUCAGGAGAGGCUCUGCAUUGAACGACCUUGCACUGGGCCGGUUUCUUUUCUAAAGGUUCCAGAGGGCAUGGCUGUCAACUUCCCGCUUGUGUCCCCGUCGGGUUCCAGGGCACAGAGGACUGCAGUGUGAGAAGGCAGCACCGCCCCGGCGCCCGCGAGGAAGCCGAACUGCUCAUAAGUUAAGCAGCCCCAGCCAGGUCACGGGGCAAGGAAGCCGCCUGCGACCUCGGAAACCCCUGGUUCAUCCCAUGACCCACCCCCGUUCAUCCGGUGACCCACCCCUCACCCCGGUUCAUCCCGUGACCCACCCCCCCGUUCAUCCCAUGACCCAGCCCCCCACCCCGGUUCAUCCCAUGACCCAGCCCCCCACCCCGGUUCAUCCCAUGACCCACCCCCCACCCCGGUUCAUCCCGUGACCCACCCCCCGUUCAUCCCAUGACCCAGCCCCCCACCCCGGUUUAUCCCGUGACCCACCCCCUGUUCAUCCCGUGACCCACCCCCCGUUCAUCCCGUGACCCAGCCCCCAACCCCGUUCAUCCCGUGACCCACCCCCAACCCCGGUUUAGCCCGUGACCCACCCCCCCCCCGUUCAUCCCGUGACCCACCCCCCGGUUCAUCCCGUGACCCAGCCCCCAACCCCGUUCAUCCCGUGACCCAGACCCCACCCUGGUUUAUCCCAUGACCCACCCACGGUUCAUCCUGUGACCCGCCCCCCGUUCAUCCCGUGACCCACCCCCCACCCCUGGUUUAUCCCGUGACCCACCCCCGGGUCAUCCUGUGACCCAGACCCCACCCUGGUUUAUCCCAUGACCCGCCCACGGUUCAUCCUGUGACCCGCCCCCCGUUCAUCCCGUGACCCAGCCCCCCACCCCUGGUUUAUCCCGUGACCCACCCCCGGGUCAUCCUGUGACCCAGACCCCACCCCUGGUUUAUCCCGUGACCCACCCUCGGGUCAUCCCGUGACCCAGACCCCACGCCUGGUUUAUCCCGUGACCCACCCGCAGCACCAGCACCUCAGUGCUGCUUUUGUAUUUAUAGUCGCCUUGCUGUAUGUUGAGCGUAAUUUUACAAUCUGCCCAAAAUUCCUUUGAAGAGCAGAUAGGUGUGUACACCCUAAAUGAAUAAAAUACAGUGCGAUUUGGUGAAAGGUAA
rnacentral:lncRNA from 1 species